CAAUAAGAAACAUGAAUAAAUGAGUAAAAGAAUGAAUAAAAGCAAGCAUCACAAUAAAUACAUACAAUAUACAAGUCAACAGCAGAUGAAACAAAGCUUCAUUCAAACUCAUUGUUCUAACAAUCAUGUAUUUACAGACGGUGAACCCCACAUCCUACUGCCAUCUCAACACAGAUGCGUCAAUUCUGCAGCUGCGCUGUGCUGUGCUUCACAAUCUUGCUCUUCUCAAUGAGGACAGCGUUGACCCAGAGGAUGAGGAGGAAGACCAUGAGCUACAUCGUUCCGGAAAAUCAAACAAAAAUAACAGAAAUGAAUGGGGAGAGGGUAGAUGUGAAGUGAGGCGAUGGGAGGGAUUUACAUGUUAAAACCUCUGAUUGGCUUUAAUGUGACCAAUGAAAUCAUUCUGUGGGUUGGUCCAUGGAGAUACCCAAUCACAGAUCGCCGUUUUCCUUUUUGAAAUUAGUAUAUUAGAGUGUAUAAAAGCUCGUGUGGCAUGAAAAACAGUUAAACAACUUCCAGUGACUCUGACCUGAACAUCAGGCCUGAACCCGCGAAGUAAGAAGGGCUCAAAGCAGGUCGUCACUAAGACCCGCCGGUAAAGGAGGAAGAAGCGCAGGAAGUCCAGGAAGGAGAGCUACGCUAUCUAUGUGUAUAAAGUGCUGAAGCAGGUUCAUCCUGACACCGGGAUCUCUUCUGAGGCGAUGGGCAUCAUGAACUCUUCGAGCGCAUCGCCGGUGAAUCGUCUCGUCUCGCUCACUACAACAAGCGCUCCACCAUCACAUCGAGAGAGAUCCAGACCGCCGUGCGUCUGCUGCUGCCGGGAGAACCGGAGAACCGGCCAAACACGCCGUGUCUGAGGCGCCAAGACUGUGACCAAAUACACUCAAAGUAAAGAUCAUCUGAUCUGAUCAGCGACCCAAAGGCUCUUUAGUUUUCUGAUUAUAGCUUUGUGUUUAGAAUGUUUGUGGCAUUUUACGAUGAAUGUGAUUUACUGAUGAAAUCACUGAAACAUUAAAACUAAGUUAUUUCAUUUAUUUU